rnacentral:misc_RNA from 1 species
GAAAUACGAUAAGUAAUGUGAAUUGCAGAAUUCAGUGAAUCAUCGAAUCUUUGAACGCACAUUGCGCUCGCCAGUAUUCUGGCGAGCAUGCCUGUUCGAGCGUCAUUUCAACCAUCAAGCUCUGCUUGCGUUGGGGAUCCGCGGCUGCCCGCGGUCCCUCAAAAACAGUGGCGGGCUCGCUAGUCACACCGAGCGUAGUAACUCUACAUCGCUAUGGUCGUGCGGCGGGUUCUUGCCGUAAAACCCCCAAUUUCUAAGGUUGACCUCGGAUCAGGUAGGAAUACCCGCUGAACUUAAGC